rnacentral:lncRNA from 1 species
AGGGCCCCAGAACCGCCGCGAAAUUGCCCCGGGUGGGCGAGACUGUCGGCUCGGCCCCGAGCACCGAGGCCAGGCGCCGGCUGUGGGCUUCCCCCGGCCUGGCAGCCCAGGGAAGCGCCGGUCGCACGCCCGGUGACCCGCACCGGCUCGAUCGCCAAGACGUGAGCCACUGAACACUGUCCUCCACCAAAUUCUUAACUUCCCGGGUAGAAAGAGGGGACAGCUCCUUCUCAGCCUCAUUCGAAAAGCCAGUAACUACAAGCUCCAUCAUCUAUCCUUGCUACUAUCCUGCUUUUUAAAAAGUGGGUGCUACUGAAAAGACUUAAACUGUUGAUUCACCCAUCUUUUCAGUCAAUAUUUGUUGCUUACUAUUU